rnacentral:tRNA from 1 species
UCCGCAGUAGCUCAGUGGUAGAGCGGCCGGCUGUUAACCGGUUGGUCGUAGGUUCGAGUCCUACCUGCGGAGCCA